rnacentral:rRNA from 1 species
CCUACGGGUGGCAGCAGUGAGGAAUAUUGGUCAAUGGACGAGAGUCUGAACCAGCCAAGUAGCGUGAAGGAUGACUGCCCUAUGGGUUGUAAACUUCUUUUAUAUGGGAAUAAAAUGUUCCACGUGUGGGAUUUUGUAUGUACCAUAUGAAUAAGGAUCGGCUAACUCCGUUCCAGCAGCCGCGGUAAUACGGAGGAUCCGAGCGUUAUCCGGAUUUAUUGGGUUUAAAGGGAGCGUAGGUGGAUUGUUAAGUCAGUUGUGAAAGUUUGCGGCUCAACCGUAAGAUUGCAGUUGAAACUGGCAGUCUUGAGUACAGUAGAGGUGGGCGGAAUUCGUGGUGUAGCGGUGAAAUGCUUAGAUAUCACGAAGAACUCCGAUUGCGAAGGCAGUUCACUGGACUGCAACUGACACUGAGGCUCGAAAGUGUGGGUAUCAAACAGGAUUAGAUACCCGUGUAGUC